GGAACAAGUUUUUUGGAGUAACGCUCACCGGUAAAUCAGAUGCAGAUAUUUUCUGUUUAAAGUCUUAAUACUCUAGAUUUCUGAAUGUGUGCACUGCUUAUAUUUGCGUUUCCUUUCAUUUCACUUAAACUCCAGAGUACCUAGCCUGAAGCAACGGUCGAUGUGUUAAUCCACAGAGACGACCAGCCAUGACGUCACUGAAUCAAUAAAAUAAAGUUCUGAGCCAAAGCCAAAGUUCAAAGUGGAGGACCAGCCCUGGAUUCUUAAAGUCAAUGACAAGGCCGGCAAGAGGUUCAAAGGUCUAAAGAAGGGCGGGGUUACAGAAAAUACAUCGUACUACAUCUUUACACAGUGUCCUGAUGGAGCUUUUGAGGCCUUCCCUGUCCACGGUUGGUACAACUUUACACCGCAGGCCAAGCACCGAACUCUCACUGCUGAGGAGGCUGAGGAAGAGUGGGAGAGAAGAAACAAGGUGGUGAAUCACUUCAGCAUCAUGCUUCAGAGACGUUUCCGGGAGCAGAAGCGGGGUUGUGAUGAUGACGAUGAUGAGAACGAGAAGUCGGGGAAGAAGAAAAAGAAGGGGGGUGGGAGAGGGGGCGACCUGCGCAUUACUGACCUGGAAGACGACCUGGGGAUGAGCACCGAUGACAGUGACAGCAGUAUGGGGGAUGAUGGAGAGGGCAAGACAAAGGUGAAGAAAGAUGCAGGGAAUAAUAGGCCAUAAUAUGUCAGGUUGAUUUACUAAACUCAGUACCACUCCACAACCUUUUAGAAUACAUCCUUGGUUUCACCAUGUGAACUAAGGUAUAAAGAGGGGAGCCAGAUCAGUACUUGGUCAGUGCGCAGCUGGCUGGGCACUCAGAGUUUGUUAUGUACUUACGUGUGUAAUAAA